GCCAGCAGCCAUAUCACCCUGCAACUCACAGCCGAUAACCUGAAGCCCCGCAGGUGUGAGCCUGGUCAGUACCUGGAUGGGAGACCUCCUGGGAAAAACUAAGGUUGCUGCUGGAA
rnacentral:rRNA from 1 species